ACGGGAGGCAGCAGUGGGGAAUAUUGCACAAUGGGGGAAACCCUGAUGCAGCAACGCCGCGUGAGUGAUGACGGCCUUCGGGUUGUAAACCUUUGUCUUUGGUGAAGAAGCAAGUGACGGUAGCCAAGGAGGAAGCCACGGCUAACUACGUGCCAGCAGCCGCGGUAAUACGUAGGUGGCAAGCGUUGUCCGGAAUUACUGGGUGUAAAGGGAGCGCAGGCGGGACUGCAAGUUGGAUGUGAAAUACCGAGGCUUAACCACGGAGCUGCAUCCAAAACUGUAGUUCUUGAGUGAAGUAGAGGCAGGCGGAAUUCCGAGUGUAGCGGUGAAAUGCGUAGAUAUUCGGAGGAACACCAGUGGCGAAGGCGGCCUGCUGGGCUUUAACUGACGCUGAGGCUCGAAAGUGUGGGGAGCAAACAGGAUUAGAUACCCUGGUA
rnacentral:rRNA from 1 species